GACGUCGUCUGUCCUCGAUCCAGCUUCCCUUCAGUUCGUGUCUCUCUGCGGUGCAUGCAUCUCCAUAGUUCCUCUGUCUUAGCUCCUCGAUUUUUGUAAUUCCCUUGCAUCACUUCUACCUGAGUCUUCGAAUUGGGCUUUCUGUCCGAAAUUCUUGGUUGAUUGGGAUUCCUUGGCUGGCCUCAGUUCGUCUGUCUCUGUCCUUCGUCAAUCUCUUCGCCUGGUCCAACACCUCACGUAGUUGGGGUGUUUUUUGCGGUGGGUUAGUGAGUUUGGUAGCUCUAGCGCACCCAGCUGAGAACUUCUUUCACUCGCUCAUUGUCGUUCCUCUGGGUGAGGUUUUUUUUCCCUGUUCUGGUAGAUUUAUGAUUGUGGUCGUGUAUUUCUGCUUUGUCCUGCUUCGUCGAAGCUAUGGGUUCGUGUAUUUGUGCUUUGUUCUUCUUCGUCUUUCUAUGGGUGAGUGUUUUUUUUUUCUUUUCCUUCCUGUUUUGGUGGAUUUACGGUUGUGGUCGUGUAUUUCUGCUUUGCCCUGCUUCGUCUUUCUUGCAGUUGUGGGUUCGUGUAUUUGUGCUUAGUUCUUCUUCGUCUUUUUUUCCCCCUGUUUUGUGUGGAUUUACGGUUGUUUGUCAACAUAUGAAAUGUUUUCAGAAGAUAAGAGCUUGAAGCAGUUUGUUGGUAAUUCACUCUUAAAUGGCUCAGUCACUGAAGUUGUGGACUCCGAUUUGCUACAUCAAAACGAUUUGCAUUUUGCUGCGAAGGAGCAAUGUGCGGCAUCAACGUGCUCAACUGUCUGCGAUGCUCUAAAACUAUGGCUUACGGUUGACCUUUUUCCAACUCUCAACCCCAUUUUUUUUCACACAAAGAUGCCCUCUUCUCUUUUAUACUAAACUAGAGCCCAGAUCAGACCUAGCGUUCGGCAAAGCUUAAGGGGCGAGAUAAUCAACGCUUGGUGAAUUUUAUGGCUUUGAUCCUCUCUUCAUCUUUGAUUUCAUAUCAAUUUUGGGAUUUAAUUUUUUCCUUUCUUUUGAGGAAAGCUUUCUUACUUUAUAUUUCUAUGUAUGAUUUAUUUGGCGAGUUUCUUCUACCAAAUGUUUUUCUUUUCGAUCUGGUUGCUUCUUAGCUUUUAAUUUAGUUAUUUUUUUUUGUCGAGUUAAGCUUGCAUCAGAUCUUCGAUGUCAACAAUUGAACCCUGCAGAGCUGAGUGUACAGAAGUACUCUACCCCAAAAUCCCAUAAUCAUACGGCACAAACUUAAGAUUGGCCUGUAAGGUUUUCUUAGCAACAGCAAAGCCAAUUAUAACAAUAAUUGCUUAUGGGUAAUGUUAUAAUUCAACCAUUGUUUUGUUGUGUAGAUCAUCAAAGGUCCAAUCAUGUUUACAGAUGUAUGAGCAUUAUCCAUGAAACUAUAAUCUCAAGCCUUUGAUCUUCACAUAACACUGAAUUUUCAUAUACUAACUGUGAAAAUGUAGUUUAAAUAUUUAGUUUACAGAUCCUCUUCCUGCAGGUGGUUGGGUGUUUUUUGCGCUGGGUUCGUGAGGGUCUUCGUGCGUUUUCUUUUUUUUUUUUUGUGAAUUAUAGUUUGCUUUUAUUGUCUUUCUGCCUUUUUAUAAUUUUAUGUGGAUUAGAUUGUUUUUUGGAUUCCAGUUUGCUCUAUUCAUUUCUCAUAGCUUCAAUCCUCUACGGUUCUUUUGGGGACGUUUGUUUAGCUUAAUGAAGAAAAUUCACUAAUUUUGUUAUUCUGUCACACCCGCGUUACUUCAAUGAUUCUUGCCUUUUUUCUCUGAGUACUUGCUGUUGUGAUUUUUUUUUAUUAUCCUCGCCUCCUUCUCUAAGCUUGAUAGUGGUUACUUUGUGCAUAUGGUGUUACUUUAUGAGGUCAUGGCAAAAUAUGACUGCAGAAAGGUACUUACUGUUGCAUUAGUUUCAUCUUUCGAGUUAGUGUACUUGCAACUCAUGCGAGGAAGGAUCAUCAAAAUUUUUCAAUAUACAUUCUCCAAGAAUGUGAUUUUCCAAAGACCUCUUUCUAUCAGUUAUGAGAAAUUUUAGUGGUCAGAAGACUAAGCCUGUUUGUCUUCUCAGUUCUCAAGAUAGUUGUGCAGAGGUGUUUUCUGAGUCUCUGAGUCUCUAAUCAACCAGUAGUGUUAUUCACAUAUAAAUUGACUGUUCUUUUUACAAUUAGUUUCUAUGAUGGUGAUUAUACCCUGUAGAAAUUCUUUUGCUUCUUCUUUCUUCCGAACUAUGAAGUUUGUUAAUGAAGAUUAUGUGAUUUUCUAUGAUAUAUCAUUUUCUAUGUAAUUUUCUAUGUUUUAUGGUAACUGGAGUGCUUGAUUUGCUGCGAAUGUCUGGCGUGAUUCAUGUAUUGGGUUCGAGCAAGCAGUAAAGGUUAGCGACAAUCAUAAUAUUUUUGAUACAUGUUCUGAUUCACAGUUAUGAUUUAGAUCAAUUCUACUUCGAUGUAGUUAAAUUUUGGGAUAUUUAUACUGUCUAUUUGGGCCCUAAUCUUUUGAUUUAUUGUCUCAUGCGAUUUCCUUUCUCUUUUGAGCUUUGGUAUGGGUUUGUCCUCAUGUGGCCUUUGGACCCUUCACCUGCAAAGAUUCCAGGUUUAUCAUACACCAUUUUUCUUUUUCCUACACUGAUUUUUAGUUAUUUUGUUUUGCGGCGUCAGCGAUUAUAGUGGGACGACUUGGUAUAGUAAAAUCUGUGAGUGGGUGCACUGAUUAAAGGCUAAUAGGUAUGUGGUAGGCUUUUGUGGGUUGGUUGCUGAGGUUCUAUGGAUUGGUUCUGGUAUCUCUUAUAAUGCCUAUUAGGUAUUUCUUGCAUAUGAAUUCUGUGCUUUGAUUAAAUUAUGGAUUUGUGUGAAAUCCAAUGUUUAUCUUCUUUAGGUAAUUAGGUAGGUGCAUGUCUUAGAGAAUUUUUCAGGGAAGCCUUCGGUUUUGAGAGCAUGGUGGGGAGAGACUUUCUUCCCAAACAAUUCGGUUUCUACAUUUUUUAGUUCCUUUCAGCUUCACGUGCUUCAAAUUCUCAGCCAUGCUAUUUUUCUUCAUCUUUUUUUCUCUUCUCUUGCAGAAAAGAACACAACAGUUGGGCUCUGUGGUUCAGGAGUCUCAGAGGUUGCACUCAGUAUCUGUCUAUGAACAGUGAAAGAAACACUACAGUUAAUAAUGUUCAACUUUCAAGCACGGUUGGUUUUAGUGGCAGUGAUGUCUUUUUUUUUUAAAAAAAUUUAUAUCUAAUUACCUAUUUUUCCCGUUUACACACAAAUACAUGUAUGCUCAUACAAAAUAAAAUAAAAAAUAUAUAUAUAUAUCUCGAGAACCUGAAAUGGAUUCGUUUACUACUGUAGCUUGUUCUAUUUGCUUCUUAUUGAUAAGUUGUCUGCAAUUUAGCUCUUGAAAUUUUAUUUUUAUUGAAUUUAUCUGAUAUUUGGUAGUAUGUCUGAACUGAGUGACCUAAAAUCUCUUUCUUACGGUAAAUAGUUACCAGCGAUUCUCUUCAUUUUCUAUUCCUAAAGAGUCACUAGGUAUAAAAGUUGUGGUUGUUUGGCAUGGAUUAUCUUCUAAUGUAACAAAACAGAAACCAACAGGGAGAAGAUAUUAAACAAAAAUCAAGUUGCUUACUCUUGUGGGUUUGUUAAGAUGUAAUUUUAUAACUUUGAGGGUUUGAUAUAAAAUCAUCUGCUUUUCUAUGGGUUUCUUUAUUUUUUGUCUCAAAUUUAGCCGUUGGUGGGCUGCUUUGGUUCCAGUCUCAGUUCCCUGUGCUGUUGAAACUAUAAACUAUGAACACAACAACAAAAUUGUUGUGAUUCACAACUCAAUUUGUUUUUCUGGUUCCACUUUCUUCUUCUUUUUGCUCGCUGUGAAGCCUGACCAGACUCCACUGACCAUUCCUUUAUCCUCUCUGCGAUUGUCUGCUUCAGGUAUACCCACCUCUCUGAUCUCACAUUUAUCUAUAUAUACAGACACAUAUUUGGGCAUACAUGUAUGUCCCUAUGUGUAUGAUGUUGGGUUGUUUUCAAAUUUUCAAAUUUUUGGCUGUAAAUUCUCUCUUUUUAUUAGGGGGGCUUCUGUCCUUCAUCAUGGGGAUAGAUCUUUUAAUAAUCUAAAUCAAAAGGGUCAGUCAUUUUUUUUCAUUAGUUUUGCUUCUACUCAUGACAUGUUAUUUAACAUCCAAUUCUGAGCUUAUUUGCUUGAAUUAUUUCAUUCUAUUUAUUUUGUAUUGAUGCGGAGAUUGAUGGAAUUCAGAGCUUCUACAUUGAUUGGUUUGUGAUUUCAGUUAUUUUUGUUUACUUUGAUUGCUGAUUCAGAGUAUCUGAGUAUUGAUGUUUCUCUCUGUGUAGUAAUUUGAUGCCUAGACAACUGAAUUGUAAUUUUUAUAUACUUAAAUCAACUUAGAUGGGUUUUGAUUGUAUUCAUUAAUGGGAUUUUGUUUGUGUAUGUUAUUAUGUAUGGUUCAAAUAAGAUGACUCUAUGGCGUAGUUUAUGGAGUGUAAGAACUUGAAAUAACAUUGUUUGCUUGAUGUGUCAAUUCUAGACUUUUGGGACUGAGAAUGAGAGAAUGUCUAGAGAUAGUUCUCAGAAGAGUACAUGGAAGGCACUUGGUGCCCUCAAAGACACGACCACUGUUUAAUUGGCUAAAGUCAAUAGUGAUUACAAAGUAUAAGCAGCUUAAAUGUCAUUCUUUGGAUAGUUACUUAAACCCCUUUUGUGUUUUGAACUUUAUGCUACAGUAUUCAACUUUGCAUCAAUGGACAUUGCUAUAGUUUAGGCUACAAAUCACGAUGAGCGCCCUGUAAGGGAAAAACACAUUAGAAGUGGGUGGUCUAUCACAGUAUUCAAUUCGAUUAUUAUAACUAAUGUCGUAUUCCCAUUGAAGUUGACAAUGGUUAAGGGAAAACUUAUAACAAUGUAUUUGUUUCUCCUUUCAGCAAUUUAUGCUGCUCUUUUGGCUACUAGACCUCAUGCAGAUGUGGCCUACUGCAUCCAUGCACUUGCCAGACGGUUAUCAAAGACACAUAACUGGGAAGUACGUCUUCGCACAAAGAAUCUACUUUAAUGAAAUCAUUUUUAGUUGGUGGUCAUGGGCGGGAUUCAUGAAAAUGUCACUAACAUUCCUUUAUGUGUCUCCAAGCAGCACAAAAUGUAAUUUACAAGUAGGUGGAUCUUGAAUAGUUAUGAGGCGGCAGUCCAAUGAUUAUCGUUGGACAUGGCUACAAUCACACGUUGCUAUAUGGAGUGGGAUUCUCUUAUGCUACCAAUAGCUCAUUCUAUGAGGCAGUAUAUGAUAAGAGAACGGCUUCUUUGCUUCAGGCCAUUACACCGUGAGACUUCUUUUCCAACCAACUGAAGGAGAGGCUGCUGCAUCUUACAUUACAACAGUAGCUCUUGGUGAUGCUGAAUCAAUAUUUGGAGUAAACAUUGAUAGUCAAAUACCCACUGGAAGGAGGACGCGUUGUUUUGGUGCUAGACUAAUUGGGAGCAUGAAAUCAUGGCCACCUCCAACAGGUGAUAAGGAUGAUCGAAAUUGAGCUUGGCGGGGUUGGAUUCUGCAUCAACUGUUUAAGAUAAUUUGGUCCCUAUUCCAAUGAUUGAUCAGUUAUGUUGGUUCAGUGCAUUUUUUGAUUACACAUUUGUUGCUUUGUUUCUUUUAAUUCUUGAUUACAUAUGACGUGUUUAAUGUGUAGAUUCGGCAAAAGCAAGAAUGACAUGGGUAGCAAUAUUGUUUGCCUGAGAUAAAUUUAAUUUGUUUACAUUUUAAGUUUGCCUAAAUGUCAUUCUUUUGCAUGGGCCAAAAGGAUAAAUAAACACUUGAUUGGUUACUUCUACAUUUUUAAGUUACUUCCAACAGCUUUCUUGGUACAAGUGAAUGGUGAUGGCCAACAAGAAAAAAAAUGUUCAUUGUCAAUGGUGAUGGCUGACCAACAGGGAAAAAAAUAUUCAUCGUCAAUGGUGAUGGUCAUCAUAUUCACUGCCUUUGAAUUAGCCUUGCUUAUUUCUGUUUAUUGCGAUACAGGAGCAAUAU